UUUCAGUUAAAACAUCUGGAGACGUGCUUCUCUGCAUAUUGUAUUGAGAUAAAGUCGACCGAUCAUAUUGAAUGUGACAUCCUGAAACCAAUAGCACAUGGAAAUUUGGACUAUUCUGCCAGUGGCAAUUAUAACAGUACGGUUAUGUUCACGUGUGAUUUUGGAUACAAUCUAAAAGGACCAUCAAGUAAAACGUGCGAUGAAUUUGGAAUAUGGCAAC